rnacentral:rRNA from 1 species
GACGAACGCUGGCGGCGUGCCUAAUACAUGCAAGUAGAACGCUGAAGAGAGGAGCUUGCUCUUCUUGGAUGAGUGGCGAACGGGUGAGUAACGCGUAGGUAACCUGCCUGGUAGCGGGGGAUAACUAUGGGAAACGAUAGCUAAUACCGCAUAACAACAGUUGUUGCAUGACUGCUGAGUAAAAGAUGCAAUUGCAUCACUACCAGAUGGACCUGCGUUGUAUUAGCUAGUUGGUGAGGUUACGGCUCACCAAGGCGACGGUUCAUAGCCGACCUGAGAGGGUGGUCGGCCACACUGGGACUUGGACCCGGCCCAGACCCCUUCGGGGGGCCGCAGUAGGGGAUCUUCGGCAAUGGGGGGAACCCUGACCGGGCAACGCCGCGUGAGUGAAGAAGGUUUUCGGAUCGUAAAGCUCUGUUGUAAGAGAAGAACGGGUGUGAGAGUGGAAAGUUCACACUGUGACGGUAUCUUACCAGAAAGGGACGGCUAACUACGUG